GCGGAAUUAGUUUAGUGGUAAAAUGCGACCUUCCCAAGGUUGAAACGCGAGUUCGAUUCUCGCAUUCCGCACUA
rnacentral:tRNA from 4 species